rnacentral:rRNA from 1 species
GUGGGGAAUAUUGGGCAAUGGAGGCAACUCUGACCCAGCAACGCCGCGUGAAUGAUGAAGGUCUUCGGAUUGUAAAGUUCUGUGACGGGGGACGAACACAAUGACGGUACCCCGAUAGCAAGCCACGGCUAACUACGUGCCAGCAGCCGCGGUAAUACGUAGGUGGCAAGCGUUAUCCGGAAUGACUGGGCGUAAAGGGUGCGUAGGUGGCCUAGCAAGUUGGUAGCGUAAUUCCGGGGCUCAACUCCGGCGCUACUACCAAAACUGUUGGGCUUGAGUGCAGGAGGGGUAAGUGGAAUUCCUAGUGUAGCGGUGGAAUGCGUAGAUAUUAGGAGGAACAUCGGUGGCGAAGGCGACUUACUGGACUGUAACUGACACUGAGGCACGAAAGCGUGGGGAGCAAACAGGAUUAGAAACCCUAGUAGUCC